rnacentral:lncRNA from 1 species
CUCAUCGUGUUUUUAGUCUGUUUCGCGCCCUCGUCGCUGUCAUCGCUGUCGCGUCCGUCUCUUGAAAUUCUAACUAUAUUUGCUUUUUUAAAAACCUAGGAAGAAAAAAAAAUUCAAACCACAUCCAUUCAAUUUAUUUCAAAUCUUAUCACUUCCCGUACAACGUAAAAUUAUCACUUUAAAAUGAUCGCUUUUGAUUAAUUGAGUCCUGGAAGUUAAAGCAGCGUGAGCUCUCCGUAAACAAGAUUCGUAAAUUUAGAAGUAAAGCUAAAAAAUAAAGUUAUUUAAGUAUUGUUUAUAUUUAUAUCUAGAAAUAAGCAACUCACUUAUCCUGUUCCUUGCAUUUCAGAAUGUGCUUCGAAAAUGUGUGAAAGUUCGUGAAAGUUUUUGAAUUUCCCCUCCGUACGCUUCCUCCAGGGAUAAGUGAUUAAAUCUCAAGGUGGCCGAGAAAUUAAGAAUGAUUAAUGGUCACAUGCAUAACUGUAUGCAUUCAUCUAUUCGUAACAUGCGCAUGUUCAGCUUACAGGGACUUUUAAACAUUUUUUUUCCAAAAUAAAAUUGUUCUCACUUUGUGUCUCCUCUUCAGGUUUUCAGAUCAUAUAUGUAUACUGUGAGCAGAUCAUAGAACAAUCACCUGAAUAAUUCAGUUAGGUAUUUACAGAAUAAACUGAAUAUAUAAAUAGGUAUAAAAUUCCUAGAGUUUUCCAAUCGGUGAUGAAUUGCAUUGAACGUGACUAAAACGAAAUUUGUUUGAAGACUAAUCCGUGACGACAUAAACAUGGCCUUUUUUUUUUAUUUCUUUUUUAUACUUACCCCAUGUGUCCACGUUUAAUAUUAUGAGCGGUAAAAAGUGAACGCACGAGUAUGUUGUGAAUGAUAACUUAAAAGCUCUAAACGUAAAAUUUACGUUCUUCCGUGAGACAGCUUCUCUGUGAAACAAUUUAAAUUUUGGAUAUAUCUCGCAGCUCUGCAAAAAUGAGGUCGUCCAAUCAUACGAAGUUCAUAGCCAGUUUUUCCCCAGCCAUCUUCUUGGCGUCUCGGACCUCAUUUUCCUGCACCCCAUUUUCAGUCUUUUGACGCAUACUCCUCGAACACAAUCUUCUCCAGGCCACAUGGAUUUAACGUACUUACUCACAGGUACUUUUUAGUCUCUUAGAUACACAUUUUAAGAACUUUGGGGCCCUGAGGAGACAAAAGAGGAUUCAAAAAUGAGGAAAUAUACGGAUAAAUAAUAGUAAUACUUCGGGAAAAACUUUGCCACGGGGCCCCUUAUUUAAGGCCCUACAGCAGAUUCUUAGGAGGCAAUCACCUCAUAGCCUCCCCAACCAGUCUUCCACUGACUAGCAGUAAAGUUAAUGAAACGCCUGAUAUGUUUAUGACGUUUUAUUUUGUAAUUAAGUGAAACAUGUUAACCUAAAUAUGACGUAUCAGU